rnacentral:lncRNA from 1 species
CGCACCGCCUGCACAGUGCCCACCCGCCCCGACCCCAGCGCACGGCUCCGCGUCCCCCUGCCUUGCUCCUCAGCAACCAGCGCACAGCACAGAGCCUCCUUGCCUUGCUUCUGCCUAGCUCCUGCACGCUAGCACAGCACCCUUGCCCAGUCGGAUCGAUCACCUGCAACCUAGUUGGAUCUAGGCUCUCCACCGUGGCAACACGUGGUCACCUGCAUGUGGUGCCGGAAACUCCCUGCACAUGGUCAUCUGUUCCAUUGGAGCGGGUUCAGAGGAAGAAGACGCG